UGCUACUAAGAUCAUGUCAAGAGAAUUCUCUCUAGAAAGCUCACAACCAAGGAUUUGAUUUUGUGCUCCAACACAUGAAAAAAUCAAAUCAUAGGACAAGCUCACAGCACUUGCUAUUUUUCUCACCAUCCUUCCUACUAUUUUUCCUCUCAAAUUUUUCUUAUCUUUUUCUCAGAUUUUUUCUCUCUUAUCACAUGCCAAAAGCCUCUAAUUUUCAAUCAAAAUCCAGCACCCAACCCAUAUAGGAUGACCAUAUAAAU
rnacentral:lncRNA from 1 species